CGUGAUUAACCAACAUGCAAGUCGAACGGAAAGGCCUGCAGCUUGCUGCGGGUACUCGAGUGGCGAACGGGUGAGUAACACGUGGGUGAUCUGCCUUGCACUUCGGGAUAAGCUUGGGAAACUGGGUCUAAUACCGGAUAGGACAGCUGUUUAGUGUCAGUUGUAGGAAAGUUUUUUCGGUGCAAGAUGACGCUCGCGGCCUAUCAGCUUGUUGGUGGGGUAAUGGCCUACCAAGGCGUCGACGGGUAGCCGGCCUGAGACGGGUGUACGGCCACAUUGGGACUGAGAUACGGCCCAGACUCCUACGGGAGGCAGCAGUGGGGAAUAUUGCACAAUGGGCGGAAGCCUGAUGCAGCGACGCCGCGUGGGGGAUGAAGGCCUUCGGGUUGUAAACUCCUUUCGACAGGGCACGAACGCGUAAGUGACGGUACCUGUAUAAGAAGCACCGGCUAACUACGUGCCAGCAGCCGCGGUAACUCACGUACGGUGCGAGCGUUGUCCUGGAAUUACUGGGCGUCCACGAGCUCGUAGGUGGUUUAGUCGACAGUCAAUCUGUGAAACACUUCCAGGGGCUCUACCUACCGUGGCUGUUGCAAGUGCGAUACGGGCUUCGACUCCGACUCG
rnacentral:rRNA from 1 species